rnacentral:misc_RNA from 1 species
AACGCACCUUGCGCUCCUUGGUAUUCCGAGGAGCAUGCCUGUUUGAGUGUCAUUAAAUUCUCAACCCAUUCAACUUGUAAUAGUUGAUAUGUGGCUUGGAUAUGGGGGUUUUGUGCAGGCCUUGAUUCAAAGGUCAGCUCCCCUGAAAUGCAUUAGCGGAACGGUUUGCAAUCUGUCACUGGUGUGAUAAUUAUCUACGCCUAAGACUAUAGAAUGCUCUCUGUCUGUUCAGCUUAUAACAGUCCCAUUUUGUGGACAACUUUUGAAAGUUUGACCUCAAAUCAGGUAGGAUUACCCGCUGAACUUAA